rnacentral:rRNA from 1 species
UACGAAGGGUGCUAGCGUUGUUCGGAAUCACUGGGCGUAAAGCGCACGUAGGCGGAUGUGUCAGUCAGGGGUGAAAUCCCGGAGCUCAACUUCGGAAUUGCCUUUGAUACAGCACGUCUUGAGUCCGAUAGAGGUGGGUGGAAUUCCUAGUGUAGAGGUGAAAUUCGUAGAUAUUAGGAAGAACACCGGUGGCGAAGGCGGCCCACUGGAUCGGUACUGACGCUGAGGUGCGAAAGCGUGGGGAGCAAACAGG